GUUACGGAGAGUUUGAUCCUGGCUCAGGACUAACGCUGGCGGAAUGCAUCAUACAUGCAAGUCGAACGGACCUUCGGGUCAGUGGCGGACGGGUGAGUAACACGUAGAUCACGUGCCUCUAGCUGGGGGACAACAGU
rnacentral:rRNA from 1 species